ensembl:lncRNA
AAUAAAUCACUUGCUACACUGGACAGCAUCAGUCUCCUGCACUUCUUUGACCGCUUAAGUCGAGUCCUACCACAUUCAACAUCGCUUGAAAAAACUACCAGCUAGCAACGUCCCUCUCACCGACCCAGAGCCUGAAGCAGACAUUGAGGGCACUCAGGCCCGGACAUCCACAGGCCCCCCAGAUUGCGAAAGCCCAAGGAGAACCAACGGAGAAGCAACUGUGCUACCUUCCCGGAAAGAGCUGAGGAGAGCCUCAGACAUGGGGUCACCCAGCAGCCACGGUGCAGACGCCACUGCGGGCUGCACUGAUGAGCCCGCGGGGUCUGCUGGCAGUCAGUCCCGCCAGAGAGAAUCGAGCCCCAGUCCCAGAAGCCCGAAGUCUGAGGGCACCCCACCCCCGGAUGGUGCCCAACCCAGCCACGGGCACCAGGCCCUGCUAAGCUGCCGCUGGGAGUGAGCCGGGUACAUACCUGAGCGCCCAGCCCUGGACACCGAGAACCACCAACGCACCGACAGCUGUGGGUGACAGCCACCGGCAGGGAGUGUGGUGGGUGGAGACAGGCCUCCACACCUUGGGAAGGCCCAAGAUGGUGGAGACUCAACCUGAAACAUAGACAUAUGGCAGGAAAUUUUGACCUAUAGGUAUGGAACCCAUGAAUGUUAGCAGUAUUACAAGAGGUCUGGAAAGCAAAGGGGUAGUUCAAAGCAGAGUAGAGAUUGCAAAAAGGCUCAAGGGCCAUUGGAGGCCAGGAGGGCACAGAGACACUGAGAUAAAACAUUAAAACAGGCUGAAGUUAAGAGAGAGAAGGAGAGCCUUUGAUAGAUUCAAAGCUGAUGUGCAAGGAGUGAGAAGAGCCUGCUCUAAUGUGCAGGCUGCUGAUUGCCAGCACAGAGCAGAGAGCCUGUGAUAGGGCUGAGAGUUUGGCAAAGGUCAGGAGAGAAAGGAGUGUCUGUAUUAAAGUUCAAGGCCUCUGAAGGCCAAGACAAAGCCAGAACAUGAAAUGAGGGAGAGUAGAGGGCCUGCUUUAAGACAGAGUUGCA